AAAGUCGUAACAAGGUUUCCGUAGGUGAACCUGCGGAAGGAUCAUUAAUAAUAGCGGGUCCUCGAAUCAUAGGAUGUCUGAACCCUUGAAUACAUAACUUUGUUGCUUUGGCGGGCCGCCUUCGGGCGUCGGCCUCGGCUGACAGCGCCCGCCAGGGGACCACAACUCUUUGUUUAGUGAUGUCUGAGUACUAUAAAAUAUUUAAAACUUUCAACAACGGAUCUCUUGGUUCUG
rnacentral:misc_RNA from 1 species